GACGAACGCUGGCGGCGUGCUUAGCACAUGCAAGUCGAACGAAGAGCGAUGGAAGCUUGCUUCUAUCAAUCUUAGUGGCGAACGGGUGAGUAACGCGUAAUCAACCUGCCCUUCAGAGGGGGACAACAGUUGGAAACGACUGCUAAUACCGCAUACGAUCUAACCUCGGCAUCGAGGAAAGAUGAAAGGUGGCCUCUAUGUAUAAGCUAUCACUGAAGGAGGGGAUUGCGUCUGAUUAGCUAGUUGGAGGGGUAACGGCCCACCAAGGCGAUGAUCAGUAGCCGGUCUGAGAGGAUGAACGGCCACAUUGGGACUGAGACACGGCCCAGACUCCUACGGGAGGCAGCAGUGGGGAAUCUUCCGCAAUGGACGAAAGUCUGACGGAGCAACGCCGCGUGAGUGAUGACGGCCUUCGGGUUGUAAAGCUCUGUUAAUCGGGACGAAAGGCCUUCUUGCGAAUAGUUAGAAGGAUUGACGGUACCGGAAUAGAAAGCCACGGCUAACUACGUGCCAGCAGCCGCGGUAAUACGUAGGUGGCAAGCGUUGUCCGGAAUUAUUGGGCGUAAAGCGCGCGCAGGCGGAUCAGUCAGUCUGUCUNUAAAGUUCGGGGCUUAACCCCGUGAUGGGAU
rnacentral:rRNA from 1 species